rnacentral:rRNA from 1 species
UACGGGGGGAGCAAGCGUUGUUCGGAUUUACUGGGCGUAAAGGGCGCGUAGGCGGUCGUGACAAGUCACUUGUGAAAUCUCCGGGCUUAACUCGGAACGGUCAAGUGAUACUGUCGGACUAGAGUACAGAAGGGGCAACUGGAAUUCUCGGUGUAGCGGUGAAAUGCGUAGAUAUCGAGAGGAACACCUGCGGCGAAGGCGGGUUGCUGGGCCGACACUGACGCUGAUGCGCGAAAGCCAGGGAGCGAACGGG